rnacentral:rRNA from 1 species
GUAAUAGCUCACUGGUCGAGUCGGCCUGCGCGGAAGAUGUAACGGGGCUAAACCAUGCACCGAAGCUGCGGCAGCGAACGUAUCACUUAAAGCGAUUCAGCGGGUUACGAUUGACGGAGCGAAGCGACGUCAAAGCGUAUACAAAGUCGAGUCGGUUUAAGGAUACGUUCGUUGGGUAGGGGAGCGUUCUGUAAGCCUGUGAAGGUGGCCUGUGAGGGUUGCUGGAGGUAUCAGAAGUGCGAAUGCUGACAUAAGUAACGAUAAAGCGGGUGAAAAGCCCGCUCGCCGGAAGACCAAGGGUUCCUGUCCAACGUUAAUCGGGGCAGGGUGAGUCGACCCCUAAGGCGAGGCCGAAAGGCGUAGUCGAUGGGAAACGGGUUAAUAUUCCCGUACUUGGUGUUACUGCGAAGGGGGGACGGAGAAGGCUAUGUUGGCCGGGCGACGGUUGUCCCGGUUUAAGCGUGUAGGUGUGUGUUCCAGGUAAAUCCGGUUCACUUUAACACUGAGGCGUGAUGACGAGGCACUACGGUGCUGAAGCAACAAAUGCCCUGCUUCCAGGAAAAGCCUCUAAGCAUCAGGUAACAUCAAAUCGUACCCCAAACCGACACAGGUGGUCAGGUAGAGAAUACCAAGGCGCUUGAGAGAACUCGGGUGAAGGAACUA